UGGAAGAAAAGGGAUUCGAACCCAUGAUACAAAAAAAUGUAUGACAGCUUAGCAAGCUGUUGCGUUAAGCCACUCUGCCAUUCUUCC
rnacentral:tRNA from 1 species